UACAGAGGUCUCAAGCGUUGUUCGGAUUCAUUGGGCGUAAAGGGCGCGUAGGCGGCGGGGUAAGCCGGGUGUGAAAUCUCAGAGCUCAACUCUGAAACUGCACUCGAUACUGCUCUGCUUGAGGACUGGAGAGGAGACUGGAAUUCACGGUGUAGCAGUGAAAUGCGUAGAUAUCGUGAGGAAGACCAGUGGCGAAGGCGGGUCUCUGGACAGUUCCUGACGCUGAGGCGCGAAGGCCAGGGGAGCAAACGGG
rnacentral:rRNA from 1 species